GUGAAGCCCUAACUUGGAGCAUUGUCAAGGACCUCCUGCAUAAGCCCUGCACAGCAGCCCUGGUGGGAGGCAGAGAGAUCUGAGAGUCCUUCUAUUACAAGGACACUGCAAAGGGGGGAAGAUUUUAUACUGGGAUUAAAAGGAGUUUUAAUCUGUUGUUCUCCUCUGGCUUUCUGUUCAUUUGAAGUUUGGAGAAUUACUCUAACUGAUGAAAUACCCAGUUGUAGAAGCAAUCUGGAAGUCCCAUCAGCCCUGGCAUAAUACAGAUGUAGUCACAUUUAAUACCACAUUUCUCUAAAGUUUAUUUCUGCCAACCUAUCCCCAUUCACAUGUCUACUACAGUAAGUAAGAUCUUUUACAUUUUCUAGUGUCUCCCAGCUAUUUUUGAGAAUCCCCAGCAUGUGCCUUCUCUUGCUUUCAUAAAAAAUAAGGCUCAGGAUCUAAAGUCAGAAUGCCUUUUUAAAAAUCUGGGAUUCAAUAUUUACUGUUUGUAUAAUCUUGGAAUACACAUUUUUGUCUAUAGCAUUGAUCUCUUCAUCUAAAACAGGGAUAUUCACAACAGAUGGUCCCGAAAGUAUGUGACUGUGAGGAAAAAAAAAAAUAUUCCAAGACCCUAUCCAUAUAGCAAUUUAAGUCAACAGAAAAUGUACUUCAGAACCGUUGCGGCAGUCCAAUCCCACGCAAUCGUGCGAAAGAAAUACUGUGCCAGCCUCUGAGGCAACCUGCUGGGGAGGCUGCCUUUCCUGGACAAGGACUCAGCCAUUGGCUCCAGAACGACCUUAAUUUUAUGCACCAGCCCUGGAGGUCUUCGGGGCACCUGAUGCCUUACAUGCAAGGGAGAGAGAAAGAAAGAACCCUGAAGGGAAAAAACAGGGAUCAGGGCUCAGGCUGGUCCCGGUCCCAUGCCGGGGCUCCCUGGCUGAAUGGUACUGCUCACCUCAGCCACCAACAAGGGACUGAGGACCCUCUGAGGAAGGUGCUGCUCGCCAAAGCACGGGCCCCGUGAGGUGCCAGGCCAAGAGUUGUGACCCCACCUGAGGGUGUGGUAUUGCUAUGAGGAUUUAAUAAAAUUAUGCAAUCAGAGGACAUAACUUUACCAAAGCAAAAUUAAUACUUCAUAAACGUCACCUGUUAUUCAUUCCUGUAAGUUACGGAGUUGUAACUGCCGUUUCUCUGCUUCUCUGAGACUGUGUAAGCAGCACGACAGAGAUCACGGACCACCGCCACGCAUGUCAGUCCUGCCUCUUAUCCUGCCUUCCCUGCCAGUGGCUGCUUCUGCUUCUCGGGGUAUCACCGCCUAGCUGGGGGUGCUCACGUGCCAAACCCUCCAAAGGCCAAGUCGUGCGGCCUCUCUCUUGCAAGAGCCACAGAAGAGUGCACAAGGUGCAGGGCCAAGACACCUCCAAGGGAAGUGAGCGUCGCAGGUGCAACCAGCUCUGAAGUGUCUGGUGCUAUUUGGACUUGUCUGCCGGCCCCCCCAGGGGGAAUUAAAAUGGAACGCAAGCCUAGGAUGAUGAAACAGGAAAUGCCAGGUAAACGAAGAUUGAAUCGAAGCAAAAUCUAGAGAGCAUCAGAAGGGGAGGCAAAUGAUCUGUCUGAACUUGAUUUUUCAGUGAAAAUUUCAGGAAUUGAAAUGGUUCUUGAAUUCAAAGAUUUGAAUAAGCAGAGAAUAUAAGACAUAAAACCAGAAUCAGCAAUGUUUUGUUUUACAAAGCAAAUUGAGACAAUUAGGUAGGCUGGAAGGAAGGAUGUGCGGGUGGUGUGACUUCCAUCUCUCUGGGCCCAGCACUGUGCAGUCCCAGCGUCCGGCCAUGGCAGCAGACUUCAAAGUGUUCAGUUCACAACCAAACCGUCGAUAAGCUGCACCAGAUGAGUCAGGUGGGAAGCAAUGGCUCUAAAGGCUGAACUCUGGUUCCCCAGUGGGACCAGCACUUGAUCUGGCGAGACAUUUUUUUCUAAUUGAGGUGUAACUGACAUAUAACAUUAUAUUAGUUUCAGGUGUACAUGAUUCAAUAUUUGUAUAUAUUUUGCAAAAUUAUUAUAAUAAGUCUAGCCAACAUCCACCACCAAACAUUGCCACAAAUUUUUUUUCUUGUGAUAAGAACUUUUAAGAUUGAUUUUCUUAGCAACUCUUGAAAAUGCAGUGCAGUAAUAAUCAUAGUCGCCAUGCUACACAUCGCAUUCCUGGGACUCAUGUUUUUUAUUACUGGAAGCCUCUACCUUUUCGAUCCUUCACCCAUUUUUUUAUCAACCCCCACUCCCUGCCUCCUGCAAGCACCAGUCUGUUCUCUGUAUCUAUGAACCUAAUUGUUCUUCUUUUUAGAUUGUACAUAUAAAUGAGAUCAUGUGGUAUUUUUCUUUCUCUGACUUAAUUCACUUAGCAUGAUUUUCAAGGUUCAUCCAUUUUAAUGCAAAUGGCAAUAUUUCAUUCUUUUUUAUGGGUGAAUAGUAUCCUAUAUAUAUGCCACAAUUUCUUUAUGCAUUCACCCAUUGAUGGACACUUAGGUUGCUUCCAUAUUUUGGAUACUAUAAAUAAUGCUGCAAUAAACAUAGGGUGCAUAUAUCUUUUCAAGUUAGUGUCUUCAUUUUCUUUGGAUAAAUACCCAGAGGUGGAAUUUCUGGAUCAUAUAGUAGUUCUAUUUUUGAUUUUUUAAAGGAAUCUUCACAUUGUUUUCCAUACCGGCUGUACCGGUUCACAUCCCCACCACCUGUGAAUGAGGGCUUCCCCUCUCCACAGCCUCACCAACACUCAUUACCUUUAGAAUUUUUGAUAAGAGCCAUUUUAACAGGUGUGAGGUGAUAACUCAUUGUGAUUUGCAUUUCCCUGAUGAUUAGUGAUGUUGACAUCUGUUUACGUAUCUGUUGGCCAUCUCUAUAUCUUCUUUGGAAAAAUGUUUAUUCAAACCCUCUGUCCAUUUUUUAAAUCAGAUUUUGGGUUUUUCUGCUAUUAAGUUGCAUGAGUUCUUUAUAUAUUUGCAUAUUUAACUCCUUAUCAGGUGUACACUUUGCAAAAAUUUUUCUCCCAUUCCAUAUGUUGUCUUUUCAUUUUUCUGAUUCUUUCUUUGCUGUGCAGAUGUUUGAUGUAGUCCCACUUGUAUUUUUGCUUUUAUUACCUAUUCAGCAAGAUUUGAUCCAUAAUGAAUAAUAAGGAUUCUUGAGCAUGGGAAAAUCUGGUCAUAGGAGUUUAUAAAGCAAAUUAGUGCAAAUGUUACUGGAAAUGGAUUCUUUAUCUCAUCACAAGAAUUAAAAAAAGAUGCAAAAAAAAGAUCCAGUGAGCAUCAGGAGUUUAUUUGGAGACCAAGAGUUUAGAGACAGACAAAAGUCUAUGCCCAAGAGUUGGGCAUGGGUAGACCCAGGGGGAGUCGUGCCAAGGAAACAGUAAGGAGCCUUUCUGUGUAAAGGAAUAUGAAUAUUCAAAGGGAAUAGAGAGUUUUUUUUGUAUUUCAGGCUUGCUCCACCCUCACGUCGCCCGGACAGAGGGAUCUCGAGCUAUAUUUGGUUCUCAUCAGAACCGUCCUGGUGCAGGAAGGUGUGCCUUUACCUCGCUAAUGAAGGAGGGGCGUGAUCUUUACUUGUUAAUGUAUCUGGGGGUGAGGUUUGGUCAGCUUCUCCUCCGUGUUGGAGCCGCCAGUUCUGGCCAGUGUGUCGUCUGUAUUCUCACUCCACACUCCAGAGCGGCUUGCCGGAAUGUGCAGAAUGUAAGCAAGCAUUCACCUGAAGUCCCCCACCUCUCCCUGCUCAUGUCUGACUAUCUACCUGCUCUGACAUAAAGAGAAGAAGGAAGGCCUUUUAGGGACCAGGACUCCAGGCCCAGAUGACCACAUACUGCCCAUCCACGGCCCAUUCUCACACUUGCAGCUAGUGUCACUGCCUUUUUAGGGGACUAGGACAGCGUUUGCUAUACCUUCCUUCCAGCAAGGAUGCCAAGCCCUCCUAGGGGCAUCUUCUCAGUGUCCAGCAGCCAUUCCCCACACCAGGGUCCUGUCCUAGGACUGCCUUUCAACAGCCCUUUACAGAGGAAGGACCUCACCAUGGCACACCAGGGGGGACCCUGCCUAGAUCCCGAGGCCAAGGGUCAAGCUGCCGUCUGCGAGGGUUGGGAACACCUCAGGUUCCCCCUGGAAGCCAAGAGCAUGAACGGCUUGCAGGAGCUGCUACGGGGCCACCUCUCACUCGCUUCCCACUUCCCCUGGGAGGCCGUCACGGACAUUUCUCCUUGUCUCCCAGGUCCUGUGAGGUGCGGGGCUUUCUGCCCCAACCCUCUCAGAACAGAGCUGCACAAUACGAAACCAGAACCUCUUGCUGCCUCCUACCACGGGCAACUCGGCAACAGGUGACCUCACAACGUGCGCCGCAGUCAUCGAGCCCCUUCAGUUUCAGUGUCGCACUUUUUGAUGUGCGGGACGAAGAUGACCAGGAGCUGCUACUUCUGCCUUAUUCUUCUCUUUGCUGACUAUUUAAGUGACAAAGUACCUAAGCUGAAAGUGGCUCCUUGUAUCUUCAGCACUUGAAUCAAUCAGGCCUUAGCCUUUCCUUGUCUUGACCAUGUGUGCUUGACACCCUUCCAAUAAACAGCCAAGCUGCAGGAUGGUUGUGCGGGUGCGACUCAAAGAAAACACAUGAGAAGUUCACGGUGCGCUUCGUCAAGUUCAGGUCCCCACUCGGUGCCGCGGCUGUAAAUCCUUUCGCCCUUCCCGGUGUUCACACUCGGACCAGCAGUACAGGGUGGGAAGGCCUUUUUCCUACCGGGUGCGGGCUCCUGGCGAGCUUCAGACAGAUGUGCACAGUUGAAGGUGUUCGCUCACCAACGGCUCCAUCUUGUCCAGAUCUCCGCACAUGACAUCACUCUCUUGUUCCUUGAAAGCCUUUAUUUUUCCUUUAGUGAUUAAGAGCGCGGGGCCUGGGGCCAGUCCGUCUGGAUUCACAGCCUCGCUCCUCCAUUCAGGGAAGUCACUUUACCCCUUUAGGCCUCAGUGCUCACAACUUAUAAAAUGAGACUAACCAAAAUGACUUCCUUAUAGGAUUGUUAAGGGGAGUAAUGAGUUAAUAUAUGCAAAGUGCUUAUAAAAGUUAGAAUUUCUGGGUGGGCACUGAGUAUCUAGAUGGUAUUAUUAUUUAUCGUCAUCAUCAUCGUCAUCGCCACCCUCUCCACAUCCCCCUUUAGUUUUCCAGCUCCCACCACGACCUCAAACACAAGCAGCCGCCUUCGCCACCAAGCUCGGGAGCGUGGCUUCUUGACUGUUGAAUUCUGAAUGAUAUUUGGGUGGCCUUAUUUACAAUUUUCUCUUUAAGGAAUUCCGUAUUUCUUUGACCCGCUACAUGGAAUAGGAGGGGAGUAGAGAAUCACUGUAUCCAGUAAACAAAUAAUGAGGGUUUUUUGGUAUAAGGUUUUUAACUGGAGACAACUUUAGACUUACAGAAAAGAUCUAAGACCAGUACCGAGUUUUUUUUUUUUCUGGAGCCAUUUGAGAGUGAAUUGCUGACCCAGUGCUUUGUCACUCACAAAUACUAGUGCUCACUACGAGCAAGGACAUUC